rnacentral:misc_RNA from 1 species
UUUCCGUAGGUGAACCUGCGGAAGGAUCAUUAUCAUGUAAUUCAGUCCCCUUGGCUGUGUUAUAUAUAUACCCACUCGGUGUACCUUCUCCUGUUGCUUCCGCUGGGUGUGUAAUUCGCCCGGCGGAAGGGUAAAAAUAACCUCUGAGUAUUGAUGAAAUCUCUGUCUGAACCGAAUAGAAAGAAAAAUGUUAAAACUUUCAGCAACGGAUCUCUUGGUUCUC